GGUAAGGUGGCUGAGUGUUAAGCGGUGGAUUGUAGUCCCAUGAAGAGAGGUUUAAUUCCUCUUCUUACCA
rnacentral:tRNA from 1 species